rnacentral:rRNA from 1 species
CUACGGGUCGCUCCAGUGGGGAAUAUUGGACAAUGGGCGCAAGCCUGAUCCAGCCAUGCCGCGUGAGUGAUGAAGGCCUUAGGGUUGUAAAGCUCUUUCGACGGGGACGAUGAUGACGGUACCCGUAGAAGAAGCCCCGGCUAACUUCGUGCCAGCAGCCGCGGUAAUACGAAGGGGGCUAGCGUUGUUCGGAAUUACUGGGCGUAAAGCGCACGCAGGCGGUCUGAUCAGUCAGAAGUGAAAGCCCCGGGCUUAACCUGGGAACUGCUUUUGAUACUGUCAGGCUUGAAUCACGGAGAGGGUAGUGGAAUUCCGAGUGUAGAGGUGAAAUUCGUAGAUAUUCGGAAGAACACCAGUGGCGAAGGCGACUACCUGGCCGUCGAUUGACGCUCAUGUGCGAAAGCGUGGGGAGCAAACAGGAUUAGAUACCCGGGUAGUC